CAGUGGGGAAUAUUGCACAAUGGGGGAAACCCUGAUGCAGCCAUGCCGCGUGUGUUGAAGAAGGCCUUCGGGUUGUAAAGCACUUUCAGUAGGGAGGAAGGUAGUGUAGUUAACACCUGCAUUAUUUGACGUUACCUACAGAAGAAGCACCGGCUAACUCCGUGCCAGCAGCCGCGGUAAUACGGAGGGUGCGAGCGUUAAUCGGAAUUACUGGGCGUAAAGCGCAUGCAGGCGGCCUGUUAAGUCAGAUGUGAAAGCCCGGGGCUUAACCUCGGAAUUGCAUUUGAAACUGGCAGGCUAGAGUCUUGUAGAGGGGGUAGAAUUUCAGGUGUAGCGGUGAAAAUGCGUAGAGAUCUGAAGGAAUACCAGUGGCGAAGGCGGCCCCCUGGACAAAGACUGACGCUCAGAUGCGAAAGCGUGGGGAGCAAACAGGAUUAGAUACCCUGGUAG
rnacentral:rRNA from 1 species